rnacentral:rRNA from 1 species
AUAUCUACGAUAUCCGUGGUAGGAGAGCGUUCUAAGGGCGUUGAAGCUAGACCGGAAGGACUGGUGGAGCGCUUAGAAGUGAGAAUGCCGGUAUGAGUAGCGAAAGAUGGGUGAGAAUCCCAUCCACCGUAUGCCUAAGGUUUCCUGAGGAAGGCUCGUCCGCUCAGGGUUAGUCGGGACCUAAGCCGAGGCCGAAAGGCGUAGGCGAUGGACAACAGGUUGAUAUUCCUGUACCACCUCGUUUUUGUUUGAGCGAUGGGGGGACGCAGGAGGAUAGGGUAAGCGCACUGCUGGAUAUGUGCGUCUAAGCAGUUAGGCUGGUAAGCAGGAAAAUCCGCUUACCGUGAAGGCUGAGCUGUGAUAGCGAGGGAAAUAUAGUACCGAAGUUCCUGAUUCCACACUGCCAAGAAAAGCCUCUAGUGAGAAAACAGGUGCCCGUACCGCAAACCGACACAGGUAGGCGAGGAGAGAAUCCUAAGGUGUGCGAGAGAACUCUCGUUAAGGAACUCGGCAAAAUGACCCCGUAACUUCGGGAGAAGGGGUGCUUUUUAGGGUGAAUAGCCCUGAAGAGCCGCAGUGAAUAGGCCCAGGCGACUGUUUAGCAAAAACACAGGUCUCUGCGAAGCCGCAAGGCGAAGUAUAGGGGCUGACGCCUGCCCGGUGCUGGAAGGUUAAGAGGAGGGGUUAGCGUAAGCGAAGCUCUGAAUUGAAGCCCCAGUAAACGGCGGCCGUAACUAUAACGGUCCUAAGGUAGCGAAAUUCCUUGUCGGGUAAGUUCCGACCCGCACGAAAGGCGUAACGAUCUGGGCACUGUCUCAACGAGAGACUCGGUGAAAUUAUAGUACCUGUGAAGAUGCAGGUUACCCGCGACAGGACGGAAAGACCCCGUGGAGCUUUACUGUAGCCUGAUAUUGAAUUUUGGUACAGCUUGUACAGGAUAGGUAGGAGCCUGAGAAGCCGGAGCGCUAGCUUCGGUGGAGGCGUCGGUGGGAUACUACUCUGGCUGUAUUGAAAUUCUAACCCGCACCUCUUAUCGAGGUGGGAGACAGUGUCAGGUGGGCAGUUUGACUGGGGCGGUCGCCUCCUAAAGAGUAACGGAGGCGCCCAAAGGUUCCCUCAGAAUGGUUGGAAAUCAUUCGUAGAGUGUAAAGGCACAAGGGAGCUUGACUGCGAGACCUACAAGUCGAGCAGGGACGAAAGUCGGGCUUAGUGAUCCGGUGGUUCCGCAUGGAAGGGCCAUCGCUCAACGGAUAAAAGCUACCCCGGGGAUAACAGGCUUAUCUCCCCCAAGAGUCCACAUCGACGGGGAGGUUUGGCACCUCGAUGUCGGCUCAUCGCAUCCUGGGGCUGUAGUCGGUCCCAAGGGUUGGGCUGUUCGCCCAUUAAAGCGGUACGCGAGCUGGGUUCAGAACGUCGUGAGACAGUUCGGUCCCUAUCCGUCGUGGGCGUAGGAAAUUUGAGAGGAGCUGUCCUUAGUACGAGAGGACCGGGAUGGACGCACCGCUGGUGUACCAGUUGUUCUGCCAAGAGCAUCGCUGGGUAGCUAUGUGCGGAAGGGAUAAGUGCUGAAAGCAUCU